rnacentral:misc_RNA from 1 species
GAUGAAGAACGCAGCGAAAUGCGAUAAGUAGUGUGAAUUGCAGAAUUCCGUGAAUCAUCGAAUCUUUGAACGCACAUUGCGCCCGCUAGUAUUCUGGCGGGCAUGCCUGUCUGAGCGUCAUUUCAACCCUCGCCCCCGGCUUUUGCUGGGAGCGGUGUUGGGGAUCGGCCGCCCGUCACUGGGAGGCCGGCCCCGAAAUAGAGUGGCGACCACGCCGUGUGCUCCUCUGCGUAGUAGUAAAUCACCUCGCAGGCGGACAGCGGUGCGGCCUGCCGUAAAACCCCCAACUCUUUCUGGUUGACCUCAGAUCAGGUAGGAAUACCCGCUGAACUUAAGCAUAUCAAUAAGCGGAGGA